rnacentral:rRNA from 1 species
ACGGGGGCCCGCACAAGCGGUGGAGCAUGUGGUUUAAUUCGAUGCAACGCGAAGAACCUUUACCUGGUCUUGACAUCCACGGAAGUUUUCAGAGAUGAGAAUGUGCCUUCGGGAACCGUGAGACAGGUGCUGCAUGGCUGUCGUCAGCUCGUGUUGUGAAAUGUUGGGUUAAGUCCCGCAACGAGCGCAACCCUUAUCCUUUGUUGCCAGCGGUCCGGCCGGGAACUCAAAGGAGACUGCCAGUGAUAAACUGGAGGAAGGUGGGAUGACGUCAAGUCAUCAUGGCCCUUACGACCCAGGGCUACACACGUGCUACAAUGGCGCAUACAAAGAGAAGCGACCUCGCGAGAGCAAGCGGACCUCAUAAAGUGCGUCGUAGUCCGGAUUGGAGUCUGCAACUCGACUCCAUGAAGUCGGAAUCGCUAGUAAUCGUGGAUCAGAAUGCCACGGUGAAUACGUUCCCGGGCCUU